GACAGAGGGUGCUAGCGUUGUUCGGAAUUACUGGGCGUAAAGGGCGCGUAGGCGGCUCGUUUAGUCGGGUGUGAAAUCCCGGGGCUCAACCCCGGAACUGCAUUCGAUACUGGCGGGCUAGAGACCGGAAGAGGUGGGUGGAAUACCCAGUGUAGAGGUGAAAUUCGUAGAUAUUGGGUGGAACACCGGUGGCGAAGGCGGUUCUCUGGGCAUGUCCUGACGCUGAGGAGCGAAAGUGUGGGGAGCGAACAGG
rnacentral:rRNA from 1 species